ensembl:snRNA Gm23101 predicted gene, 23101
AAACAUACUUGUCAAGAGUAGACCAUAGCCAAGCAGGUGAUGUUCCCAGGACAGUGCUCAUUCACUGCACUUGGAAUGUACUGACUUUUGUUGGGAAACUUGAUUUAUAAUUUAUGGUUGUAGAGGAAUACACUUUC